rnacentral:rRNA from 1 species
CCCUUAGAUGUUCUGGGCCGCACGCGCGCUACACUGAUGCAUUCAACGAGUCUAAAACCUGGUCUGAUAGGGCUGGGUAAUCUUUUGAAUGUGCAUCGUGAUUGGGAUAGAUGAUUGCAAUUCUUCAUCUUCAACGAGGAAUGCCUAGUAAACGCAAGUCAUCAGCUUGUGCCGAUUACGUCCCUGCCCUUUGUACACACCGCCCGUCGCUACUACCGAUUGAAUGGCUCAGUGAGGCCUUCGGACUGGCCCAGGGAGGUUGGCAACGACCACCCAGGGCCGGAAAGUUGGUCAAACUUGGUCAUUUAGAGGAAGUAAAAGUCGUAACA